GAUCAUGAGAAUUAAGUUUGGUUGAUGAUCCGCAAUAUGUUAAACUUUGAAGAGAAAGUUCGGCUAAAAAACUGAAAUUACCAGAGUUCCCUUUCCCAUGAAAUAGGUAUAGGAUUUUUUGGUAGUUGAUUGUAAAAUUGUGUGGAUAAGACUCCCUUCUCCUAAAAACUUAAGGAUUUACUGUAGCCUCACUCCGAUCUAAACUUACCCAUCAUAAUAAAGCCCCAAAAAAUAAAGAGAUUUGAAUCCCUCAAGUGGGGUAGACCCCAAAGUAAAUAGAACUUUGAACUUGGAAAAUCACGAAAGUUGAUUAAAGUGGGCCCAUAACACACAGGUCCUAGGAAUAAUUAAUACGGAGAAUCACAGGAACGGUAUGGGAUAAGCUUCCAUUAAUGUGAUAAGGUCUAAAUUCCUGGAUGAAUCUUAAUGGAGAAUAUGAUGGAAUACUCUUAAAUCUAAGGAAACAAAGAAAGAAAAGAUAAAAGAGAUUCCAUCAAGGAUGAAAUAGUGAAAUCCCAACCCUAAAACCCCUAGGACAAUAAACACCCUAAGAAUAAACCCAAGAUAAGAACCAAAACCUAUCUUUGGAUAAGAAGUGAUCUAGCCUCACCGAAUCAUCAUGCCCAGAUAGGAAAAAUAGUAAAAGGAUUUAAGCUCAAAGAAACCUAGGAGAAUAGUAAAUCCUAAUAAAUAAAAGUGGGAAUAAAAAAUGAACUAGGCCAAAUUAAACCACCUUAAUAGGAAAAACAACCCACAUCAAAAAUACAAUAGGAUAAAGAAAACCUUAGAAGCUCGUAGAAAAAAGAAGAAGCUCAAUAGGUUACCAUGCCCAACUCUAGAUGAGAAGCAAUCACUCUAGAGCCAAAUCAUAGAGGCAUACAAACCUCCUCGAUGAAAAGGAACCCCUCAACUCUAACCCUUAAGGACAAACCCACCCAAAUCCACCUUGGAUAUUAGGAUCCACCAUGAACAAGGAUCAUGACCACCCUAGAAUAAUGGAAAGAGUACUAGGUGUUCAAAGAAAUCAUCAUACCACAUUAUGAUGAAAAGGGGCCACCCAAGCUAGAUAAUAUGUCCCAACUCCCAAACCCAAGGAGAGAUAAUAGGCAAUAAGAACUCCCUGAAAACACUAACCCUACAACUUCUAGAGGAGGAAAUCCAAGAGGUUACUAUGCUUAUACCCUAGGUCAAUGUUUUCUAGGAAUGACGCCCGUUAAGGAAAUCUAAACCUUAAACGUUAGAAUCUUUAGGAAAUUCUAGUAAAGCCCUGAAAGCCACUAGAAGAAAAGGACUUAAGAAAUUAUCCUACCCAGCCACAAAGAUAGUAUAACCCAGAACCUAGUAAGGAUAAAUGUUGAGGCACGAAAGUACUCUCGACAAGAAGUAGUCAUCCCCCAUCUAUCGGGAAUUGGCAACUUUAGUUCACAUGAAAUAAUGAGAAAUACCAUGUGAACCCCCGGGCAAAUGGAAUGAUUAAGGAAAACAAAAGCCUGGAAAUGGACCAUGACCAUCAAAAACCCAUGGAAAGAGCACUACGUAUAUAAAUGCUCGCAAGAACCAUGGUGGUCAUGUAAGAUCAUAACCCCAAAUAGUUCACCACCAACCAACCUAGCAACCAAAGGAAACAUGUUAAACACUAGUAAUCCAAUAAGAAACCCCUUAAGAAACCCAAUUAGAUAACUUAAGCGAUGAAAGUAGUAACCACUACAGAAAUGCCAUUCUGCCAAAUUAGAUAGAAGAACCACCACACAAGGUUUAAGGGAUAAAAUAUGGUUAGGAUUUAUAAGGAAAGAAGAUCAAUUGGUACACAUGGAUAAAUGGACAUAAUCCUGAUCAUAUCUAAGGAAGGCUCACCCAUCCUAGAUAAGAUAGAGUCACCAUAAGAACGAGGUAACCUGGAACCCUACAACCCCCUAGAUGACUUGCCCUCAACUUAGUACCCAAAGAAACCUACCACGCAAAAUAGGAGCCUAUUAGGCAACCCAAAGUAGAAAUAAUGAUGAUUGAAGGAAAGUCGUCGUAUUGAAUUGGAAUAUUAACUAUGGUGCAAGAAUCACCAUACCAAAUUUUAAAAAAGGAGUAAAAACAUGGUCAGAGGUUAUAAGGAUAAAAGAUCCAUUAUUCAACAUGGAUAUGCGGACAUAACCCUAACUACACCUAAGGAAAAAAAAAACUCCCUCAAGCUACCUCACCUUAAGUGGGGUAGAGCCACUAAAGAUGGCUUAACACAGAGUAAGAAUAGGUAACACAGGGAUGGUACCCAAGCAUAGGGUACCCCAGGAAUUGUAUGUACAUUAUGGGGAAAUAAGAAAGUUAUCCCGGAAAGAAAAGUACUGGGGAUAAAUAAAAUCUCGGACCAAAGGAAUAAGAAUAUCAACGGUAAGGAAAAUCUUGGAUAACUAUAUAUAAAACAUCUAAGAGAAAGGAAAUAUUAGAUAUACAAACGAAUUUAAAGAGAAAUCCCAAGUCGAGUCUCCUUAAGUGGGGUAGUGACCCAGAUGCUAAAAGGACUAUAGAGACUCAAGAACUUGAGGAUUGAAAACAAAAAGAAUAAAGGAAAUAACAACCCUUACUACCCAAGAUACACCCAUCAAAUAUUUGGAUGGAAAUGAAAAAAGGAAAUAAGUGAAAAUUUUCCUUUCCAAGGCCAUGAGAAUACAUAUGGCAACACCAACCCGACCAGGAAGACUAAGGAAAGAGAAUUUGUAGAUUUAGAGUCAUACAUUUGGAUAGACGACACCAAAGUGAGUAAGGUUAAAAGAAAGAAGAAUUUUUUUAAUCAGAAACUCCAAAAAGGCACCCCAUCUACGAAGAAGAAAUCAAGACCACCAUACUUACUUUAUUUCUAGCCAUUGAAUCUCAAGGACGAGAUUCUCCUAAGUGGGGUAGAUCUGUAACAUCCCGCUUUUUAGAAUAUUUAAAAAACGGACUUUUUUUAAAAAAAUAAAUUAAACAUACUUUCUCUUCCCUGAGAUAUUCAAACCCCUUUUUACAAACAAAACUCGCAUUAAAUCUGAGCAUGUGUGUUGCAUAUGAUUGUUCUAGGAAUUCUUCUAUAAUCUUUCCUCCCAAUCCUAGGAACACCUCUCACAAAACCAUUG
rnacentral:lncRNA from 1 species